rnacentral:rRNA from 1 species
AAAUGUUGGGGACGUCUAGCGAGACUGCCACCGUAAGGUGUGAGAAGGGGGGGGAGUGACGUCAAAUCAGCACGGCCCUUACGUCCGGGGCGACACACGUGUUACAAUGGUAGGUACAGAGGGCAGCUACCCAGUGAUGGGGUGCGAAUCUCAAAAACCUAUCUCAGUUCGGAUUGGAGUCUGCAACUCGACUCCAUGAAGUUGGAUUCGCUAGUAAUCGCGCAUCAGCCAUGGCCGCGGUCGAAUACGUUCCCGGGCCUU